AGUGAACGCUGGCGGUAGGCCUAACACAUGCAAGUCGAACGGCAGCACAGUAAGAGCUUGCUCUUACGGGUGGCGAGUGGCGGACGGGUGAGGAAUACAUCGGAAUCUACUUUUUCGUGGGGGAUAACGUAGGGAAACUUACGCUAAUACCGCAUACGACCUACGGGUGAAAGCAGGGGAUCUUCGCACCUUGCGCGAUUGAAUGAGCCGAUGUCGGAUUAGCUAGUUGGCGGGGUAAAGGCCCACCAAGGCGACGAUCCGUAGCUGGUCUGAGAGGAUGAUCAGCCACACUGGAACUGAGACACGGUCCAGACUCCUACGGGAGGCAGCAGUGGGGAAUAUUGGACAAUGGGCGCAAGCCUGAUCCAGCCAUACCGCGUGGGUGAAGAAGGCCUUCGGGUUGUAAAGCCCUUUUGUUGGGAAAGAAAAGCAGCAGGUUAAUACCCCACUGUUCUGACGGUACCCAAAGAAUAAGCACCGGCUAACUUCGUG
rnacentral:rRNA from 1 species